UGAGGAAUUUUCCGCAAUGGGUGAAAGCCUGACGGAGCAAUACCGCGUGGAGGACGAAGGCCUUAGGGUUGUAAACUCCUUUUCUCAUCGAAGAAGAUAUGACGGUAUUUGAGGAAUAAGCAUUGGCUAAUUACGUGCCAGCAGCCGCGGUAAUACGUGAAAUGCUAGCGUUAUCCGGAAUUAUUGGGCGUAAAGAGUUUGUAGGUGGUCAAGUGUGUUCAAAGUUAAAUACUAGAGCUUAACUUUAGACACGCAUUGAAUACUACUUGACUUGAGUAUGAUAGAGGUAAAGGGAAUUCCCAGUGUAGCGGUGAAAUGCGUAGAUAUUGGGAAGAACACCAACGGCGAAAGCACUUUACUAGGUUAAUACUGACACUGAGAAACGAAAGCUAAGGUAGCA
rnacentral:rRNA from 1 species